rnacentral:rRNA from 3 species
AUUGAACGCUGGCGGCAGGCUUAACACAUGCAAGUCGAGCGGGGGAAGGUAGCUUGCUACCGGACCUAGCGGCGGACGGGUGAGUAAUGCUUAGGAAUCUGCCUAUUAGUGGGGGACAACAUCUCGAAAGGGAUGCUAAUACCGCAUACGUCCUACGGGAGAAAGCAGGGGAUCUUCGGACCUUGCGCUAAUAGAUGAGCCUAAGUCGGAUUAGCUAGUUGGUGGGGUAAAGGCCUACCAAGGCGACGAUCUGUAGCGGGUCUGAGAGGAUGAUCCGCCACACUGGGACUGAGACACGGCCCAGACUCCUACGGGAGGCAGCAGUGGGGAAUAUUGGACAAUGGGGGGAACCCUGAUCCAGCCAUGCCGCGUGUGUGAAGAAGGCCUUAUGGUUGUAAAGCACUUUAAGCGAGGAGGAGGCUACUUUAGUUAAUACCUAGAGAUAGUGGACGUUACUCGCAGAAUAAGCACCGGCUAACUCUGUGCCAGCAGCCGCGGUAAUACAGAGGGUGCGAGCGUUAAUCGGAUUUACUGGGCGUAAAGCGUGCGUAGGCGGCUUAUUAAGUCGGAUGUGAAAUCCCCGAGCUUAACUUGGGAAUUGCAUUCGAUACUGGUGAGCUAGAGUAUGGGAGAGGAUGGUAGAAUUCCAGGUGUAGCGGUGAAAUGCGUAGAGAUCUGGAGGAAUACCGAUGGCGAAAGCAGCCAUCUGGCCUAAUACUGACGCUGAGGUACGAAAGCAUGGGGAGCAA